rnacentral:lncRNA from 1 species
AAAUUCAUAUGUAACGUUUAGACGUAGAAGUCCUAUUCUUGUAUUUAAGUUGGUAAUUUUUGGAAUAAAUGGGAAAAAGAGAGAUUGCCAUCUAAAAGUGUAAAACUGACAGUAUUUUAGAUAUUUUCUACGAUUAUCCAAGAAUCUGGAGACAAUGGAUUUGCUUCAUGAUGUAAUCACAAUGAUAAUAAGGAAGACGAACGCUAGUUUACGAAAAACCAGAUUAAGAAAUAUGAUUUUCCAUGUGCUGAUUUACAUUUUUACAUUUGCAUUAUCCAGACCACCCCCACCAUUCAUAGCUGAACCACAAUUACAACACAUGCUGGAUUCACCAGAAUAUUCGGACACUCCACCGCAAUCCGUAGUUUUUCUAGACUACGACUUGUACUGAUCACAAGAGUUACAUUUUUCUGUAUAUAAAUUUUAAUGUUUUUUUUACAUCAUUCUAUUGCCAUGAAAAUAUUUCCUAGCAGAUACUUGCACCAAAAUGAUGGCAAAGUUUCGGGACAACAGAGAACACUGUUAAAAAUGUCUCUGAAAAAUGGUUAAAUAACAAUUUAUUUAAUUGUUAUUUUACCAUAUUCAAACAAAGCAGUCAAAUAACCAUAAAUAAGAUGAUAAUCAAAUUGUUAACUGUGGGGAAAAAACCCGUUUACUGACUGUUUUCACCUAAAACGGUUAAACAACCAGAAUCUUAUCGCGCAAACUAAACCCCCCUAAUAAAAGCCUUAUAAUUCCUUGUAAUUGCGUACGUCUUAUAGCCGAGAGUCUUUCAGUCUCAUGGCCAAUAGGAAGGGAGCGUUGACACCACAAUAUUUUCUCCAUUCCCUUCAACGCAUUAAGAAAUUCCAGUGUUCCGCAAUGUCCAUUACCUAACGAAACAUCUAGCUCCUAUGUCGAAUUAAAUUUCUUUUUUAUGGUUUGGAAACCAUGCUACCUCUAAAUGGUUUAAAAACCAUAUAGUUUUGUAUUCAUGGUUUUCUAACCAUACUAGUUGUAACUGGUUUCUGAACUGUAACACCAAAAAAAAGCUCUUUUACGUAAACUUUGCGGUUAAUUGGAUGGACAGACUGCUGCCCGUUAUUUUACCAUAAUUUCAGAAUUAAAAUUCCAUCAGUGCCGCUAAUUUACCAUCCAGCUUUUUAACUACUCGCUUUCCUUUUUGAUGACUUUCAUCUUGGUUGUAGUUGGUAUCAAUUAUAAUGCAAGCUUUUAUUUCCUUUAAAAUUUGUUACCUAAACUACAAAAUUCAAGAAUCAAGUUUUUUUAUUUAAAAAAAAACCAAACAAAAGAGCAGGUCGUUAAAAGCAGCUGGAUUGGAAAAUCGCACCUGGUCAUUAGCACCGCAAAUCACACCCGCUAUCACAGAAUCGGGCAAACUUGUUGCCACUUUGGGACAAGUCACUGCAUUAAAAUAAAUAUCCAAUCACAAAUGCCAGUCAAUUACAUUUCGCAUCGUGGCGAAUUUAAUUGGUAUUGGCUGGUGCCGUUAUGGAAAUGUCAUCUGGUUAAUUAUAGUUUAAGUUGAUCCUCAUAAAAUAAAUUUAUCUACAUCAAGUUAACAGUAAUGAAACAUAAUAAUAUUUUUUUUUCUCAUUCUGUUUCAAAUUAAAAAAAUUUUAUGUCUUUUAAUUACAUUUAUAUCUUGUCGGUUUCUGUGUCUCUAUGUUGUGUAGUAAUUUGUCCGCUUUUACAUUGUGAAAUUGUGCACUAUUUUGCCGAGUUCUUCUUUUAUAAGCUGUUCAUUAAUUUUAUUCUUCUCUAUGUUCAUAUGUUGUAAUAUAAUAAGUUAUUAUGUCAUACGCUAACUUUAUCAGCUUCGACGUUCAUAUGCUGUAAAAUAACUUGAAUCGUGCAUUGCAAAAUAGCAGUUUAUUUUGUUGCAAAGAAAUGCAAUACUUUGUCCAUUUCUAUAUUUUCUUUUUUGUAAAGUAACAAACAUAGUGUGGAUAUUUCCUUAAGUCAUAAAUUAUUUGCGUGUCUACUUUUAGUGAUUUGUAUACAAUAAAUAAUUUAGUUUCUU